rnacentral:tRNA from 1 species
GCUUGGGUAGCUUAGUGGUAGAGCAUUACACUUGUAAUGUAAAGGUCGCGAGUUCAAUUCUCGUCUCAAGCU